rnacentral:rRNA from 1 species
UACGAAGGGGGCUAGCGUUGCUCGGAAUUACUGGGCGUAAAGCGCGCGUAGGCGGGUCGUUUAAGUCGGGGGUGAAAUCCUGGAGCUCAACUCCAGAACUGCCUUCGAUACUGGCGAUCUUGAGUCCGGGAGAGGUGAGUGGAACUCCGAGUGUAGAGGUGAAAUUCGUAGAUAUUCGGAAGAACACCAGUGGCGAAGGCGGCUCACUGGCCCGGUACUGACGCUGAGGUGCGAAAGCGUGGGGAGCAAACAGG